rnacentral:rRNA from 1 species
GAUAAACGCUGGCGGCGCACAUAAGACAUGCAAGUCGAACGAACUUAAUAUCUUGCUUGCAAGAUAAGCGGUUAGUGGCGGACUGGUGAGUAACACGUAAGAAUCUGCCUAUCAGAGGGGAAUAACAGUGAGAAAUCACUGCUAAUACCGCAUAUGCCAUAUGAGUCGCAUGACUCAAGUGGGAAAGGAGAAAUCCGCUGAUAGAUGAGCUUGCGGCUGAUUAGCUAGUUGGUGGGGUAAAGGCCUACCAAGGCGACGAUCAGUAGCCGGACUGAGAGGUUGAACGGCCACAUUGGGACUGAGAUACGGCCCAGACUCCUACGGGAGGCAGCAGUCGGGAAUAUUGCGCAAUGGAGGGAACUCUGACGCAGUGACGCCGCGUAUAGGAAGAAGGUUUUCGGAUUGUAAACUAUUGUCCACAGGGAAGAAAAGGACAGUACAUGUGAAGAAAGCUCCGGCUAACUACGUGCCAGCAGCCGCCGUAA